rnacentral:rRNA from 1 species
ACUCCUACGGGAGGCAGCAGUGGGGAAUAUUGCACAAUGGGCGCAAGCCUGAUGCAGCCAUGCCGCGUGUGUGAAGAAGGCCUUCGGGUUGUAAAGCACUUUCAGUUGUGAGGAAGGUGGUGUCGUUAAUAGCGGCAUCAUUUGACGUUAGCAACAGAAGAAGCACCGGCUAACUCCGUGCCAGCAGCCGCGGUAAUACGGAGGGUGCGAGCGUUAAUCGGAAUUACUGGGCGUAAAGCGCACGCAGGCGGCUUGUUAAGCUAGAGGUGAAAGCCCCGCGCUCAACGUGGGAACUGCCUUUAGAACUGGCAGGCUAGAGUCUUGGAGAGGGGAGUGGAAUUCCAGGUGUAGCGGUGAAAUGCGUAGAUAUCUGGAGGAACAUCAGUGGCGAAGGCGGCUCCCUGGCCAAAGACUGACGCUCAUGUGCGAAAGUGUGGGUAGCGAACAGGAUUAGAUACCCUGGUAGGAUAGCGU